CAAUAGCGUAUAUUAAAGUUGUUGCAGUUAAAAAGCUCGUAGUUGAAUUUUGGAUUUGUUUGCAGGGUCUCUUCGAAAGAGGAGCACUUUGUGAAUGGGUCUUGUUUGUAGUGAACCCAUGUGUCAUUUACUUGGUGUGCGGUGGAACUACAGGUUUACUUUGAAAAAAUUAGAGUGUUUAGGGCAAGCAUCGCUUGAAUACAUUAGCAUGGAAUAAUAGAAUAGGACUUUGGUUCUAUUUUGUUGGUUUCUAGGACCAAGGUAAUGAUUAAUAGGGAUAGUUGGGGGCAUUAGUAUUUCAUUGUCAGAGGUGAAAUUCUUGGAUUUAUGAAAGACUAACUUGUGCGAAAGCAUCUGUCCAGAAUGUUUUCAUUAA
rnacentral:rRNA from 1 species